AUGAGACCAUUGGGUCUUCUCCUGUGGCUGAUGACAGCUCCCCAAUGUGUUCUGUCACAGGUGCAGCUGCAGGAGUCAGGACCUGGCCUGGUGAAGCCCUCGGAGACCUUGUCCCUCACUUGUACAGUCUCUGGUUACUCAAUUACCAGUGGUUAUGGCUGGAACUGGAUCUGCCAGCCUCCUGGAAAGAGCCUGGUGUGGAUGGGGUACAUAUGGUCUGAUGGCGGCACAAGCUACAGCCCAUCCCUCAAGAGCCGUAUCUUCAUCUCCAGAGACACGUCUAAGAAGCAGUUCUCCCUGAAGCUGAGCUCUGUGACCACAGAGGACACAGCCACAUAA